UUCUGCCCUCUGAGGACCCUGCCCUUUCCCAAAAGGGGUAUCUUAAGAAGGAAAAUAUGGCUGCUCUUUGCCGGACAGCAGAGUCCCAGGAUGUGGCUGUGAACUUCACUAGGAAGAAUGGAGAGUACUGGACCUUGCUCAGAGAGUCUUGUACAGGGAUGUAAUGCUGGAGAACUAUAGGAACCUGGUCUCCUUGG
ensembl:lncRNA TRIM16L tripartite motif containing 16 like (pseudogene)